AUACGGAGGGUGCAAGCGUUAUUCGGAAUCACUGGGCGUAAAGGACGCGUAGGCGGGUUGGCAAGUCAGAUGUGAAAUCCUACAGCUUAACUGUAGAACUGCAUUUGAAACUGCCGACCUAGAGUAUGGGAGGGGGAGAUGGAAUUAGUGGUGUAGGGGUAAAAUCCGUAGAUAUCACUAGGAAUACCGAAAGCGAAGGCGAUCUCCUGGAACAUAACUGACGCUAAGGCGUGAAAGCGUGGGGAGCAAACAGGAGUAGAAACCCUAGUAGUCC
rnacentral:rRNA from 1 species